rnacentral:rRNA from 1 species
CCUACGGGUGGCAGCAGUGGGGAAUAUUGGACAAUGGGCGAAAGCCUGAUCCAGCCAUGCCGCGUGUGUGAAGAAGGCCUUCGGGUUGUAAAGCACUUUCAGUGGGGAAGAAAGCCUUGGGGCUAAUACCCUCGAGGAAGGACAUCACCCACAGAAGAAGCACCGGCUAACUCCGUGCCAGCAGCCUCGGUAAUACGGAGGGUGCGAGCGUGAAUCGGAAUUACUGGGCGUAAAGCGCGCGUAGGCGGUCUGAUAAGCCGGUUGUGAAAGCCCCGGGCUCAACCUGGGAACGGCAUCCGGAACUGUCAGGCUAGAGUGCAGGAGAGGAAGGUAGAAUUCCCGGUGUAGCGGUGAAAUGCGUAGAGAUCGGGAGGAAUACCAGUGGCGAAGGCGGCCUUCUGGACUGACACUGACGCUGAGGUGCGAAAGCGUGGGUAGCAAACAGGAUUAGAUACCCCAGUAGUC